rnacentral:lncRNA from 1 species
CGACAGUCCCAAUCCAUUCCAGCUUUCAAGCCAGGUGCUACGAUUUCAGCGCAGCUGUGAAAUCAAUGAAAAUAGUGAAUGAGCAUGUCGACGCUGCUGGAUCUGAAGAGCAGUGUGCUGAGGCAGGUGCAAAGGAGCCAGUCCCUGAGGACUAGGAGGGAGCCACCGGCCAGCACCAGCGCUGGAGGGAGUCCCCCGACCCUCGCACGCCGCUCUGGCACCAUCGUACACAGGAGGAGAGCAGCUGUGCUCCUCCACCCCCGGAAUGCAAAGACCAGGCUUUUGUUCCUGAGAGAUCCACCAGGGAUGAGCUGGAUUUGUUGUAUGAGGAGGCGAUCUACACCGUGGUCAAUCGCGUUGGGGUGCCGUCGCCAGAAUAUGUUACCAACGAAGGGGACAUUUUCAAUUACCUGCAGAAGGUGCAACUUUGUUGUUUUCUCAAUAAAUUGCAUAGUACAUGUUUCAAACACUCCCGCAUCCCUCCAUAACCACACAAAUAUCACAAUGCGUAUUGUGCCUCUGGCGCUUCAAAUCCACCAAGACCUAAAUAAAUAUCAUGCUCUGAUUUUUUUCUAAAUAGAAAUGAAAUACAAAGUAAUACUUUUUUUUAAAUCUUUUGUUUUCAAAGUUCUUGCAUUGUUGAAAAAAAAAGCUAGUCUUUGAAGGAAUUGUGGGGGAACGGAGAGUUGAGCUUAGGUGGUGGUGGGGG